rnacentral:ncRNA from 2 species
GGGUCCGGGAGCAGUCCCGGAGGUUUGGAAUGGUCGGGCCGCCAUUC